rnacentral:rRNA from 1 species
UUAAGUGACGAUAGCCUAGGAGAUACACCUGUUCCCAUGCCGAACACAGAAGUUAAGCCCUAGUACGCCUGAUGUAGUUGGGGGUUGCCCCCUGUUAGAUA